GACGAACGCUGGCGGCGUGCUUAACACAUGCAAGUCGAACGGAAAGGCCCUGCUUUUGUGGGGUGCUCGAGUGGCGAACGGGUGAGUAACACGUGAGUAACCUGCCCUUGACUUUGGGAUAACUUAAGGAAACUGGGGCUACUACCGGAUAGGAGCUCCUGCUGCAUGGUGGGGGUUGGAAAGUUUCGGCGGUUGGGGAUGGACUCGCGGCUUAUCAGCUUGUUGGUGGGGUAGUGGCUUACCAAGGCUUUGACGGGUAGCCGGCCUGAGAGGGUGACCGGCCACAUGGGGACUGAGAUACGGCCCAGACUCCUACGGGAGGCAGCAGUGGGGAAUAUUGCACAAUGGGCGGAAGCCUGAGGCAGCAACGCCGCGGGCGGGAUGACGGCCUUCGGGUUGUAAACCGCUUUCGCCUGUGACGAAGCGUGAGUGACGGUAAUGGGUAAAGAAGCACCGGCUAACUACGUG
rnacentral:rRNA from 1 species